rnacentral:rRNA from 1 species
GACGAACGCUGGCGGCGUGCUUAACACAUGCAAGUCGAGCGGAGCGGCGAACGGGUGCGUAACGCGUGAGUAACUGCCCCCCUCUCUGGGCUAACAGUUGGAAACGGGGUCUAAUACCGAAUAACGGGGGAUGGCUCGCGGCCUAUCAGCUUGUUGGUGGGGUGAUGGCCUACCACGGCGGUGACGGGUAGCCGGCCUGAGAGGGGGACCGGCCACAUUGGGCUGAGAUACGGCCCAGAAUCCUACGGGAGGCAGCAGUGGGGGAUAUUGAACAAUGGGCGAAAGCCUGAGGCAGCGACGCCGCGUGGGGGAUGAAGGCUUUCGGGUUGUAAACCGCUUUCAGCCAUGACGCGGUAGUGGCAGAAGAAGCACCGGCUAACUACGUGCCAGCAGCCGCGGUAAUAC